AUAACAAUAUAGGCACUUUCAAGUAUUUUUAUGGGUGUGAUACACGUUUGUUUAUAACGAUGUUUAUAAACUUUAUGAUAGGUUUAACUAUAACAUAAGGGAGUGAUUUUAUAAUUUGCAUUUAAUUAGUUUUUCAUCUGUUUGGGAGAUCACAAAAUAAAUAAAAAAACACUUCAUUAAUUUCGUGGACAAAGUCUGUCAUGUUUCCAUUUAGUGACCACAAAGCAAAUAUUUGUGACAAAAUGCCAUAUUUGGAACACUGCCUAACUGCGUAUUGUGAACGGGUCCCCGGAAAAGUGUUAUGACAAAUGUUUUUUUUUUUUUGGUUAGGUACUACAAGAAAGACAUUGAAGAAGUUUCAACACCAGGAAAAAAGAGGAAAAAAAGGCCACAGGAAGGAAAGUCACUUGACACAGUCGACGAUUUCACAGUAAAUGCAAUCAGGAAUGCAAUUUACAGGAUGUACGCUGAAGGUUUGAAUGUUACAGUCGACACCAUUUUGAAAGAAAUCAGGGAAAGACAAAUAGAUUAUUAUGGUGGAAGAUCAAGUCUUCAUAAAUUGUUAAAGAAGAUGGGAUUUUCAUGGACAACUGUUGAUGGACGAAAAGCUUUGAUAGAGAAUGAAAACAUAGUAUUGAAGCGAAUAGAUUUCUUGAAAAGUAUAAAGAAGAAAAAGAAA